rnacentral:rRNA from 1 species
UACGUAGGGGGCUAGCGUUGUCCGGAAUCAUUGGGCGUAAAGCGCGUGUAGGCGGUCCGGUAAGUCCGCUGUGGAAGUCGAGGGCUCAACCCUCGAAUGCCGGUGGAUACUGUCGGGCUUGAGUACGGGAGAGGCGAGUGGAAUUCCUGGGGUAGCGGUGAAAUGCGCAGAUAUCAGGAGGAACACCGAUUGCGAAGGCAGCUCGCUGGAACGUUACUGACGCUGAGACGCGAAAGCGUGGGGAGCAAACAGG